CAGAUUCUGUGACUACAUGUUUGUGCUAUGAGCCUCCCAUCUCUCCUCAUUUCUGCAUUGGAUUGCAGUCACUAAAGCCGCUGCUGUCCUGCUCAGAGUAUACACCAGAUUUCUAUCUUGCAGUGUGUCAUAGCAAAACAAAUCUGGGUCUGGAUUAAAAAAACAACAAAAAAAAUCAAUUUAUUUUCAUGCUAGCAGUCAGCAGGCAAAUAAUUAAAUAAGUUAAGCCUGCGGGGGUCAGUAGGAGGCCCAUAUUACUAUAAGGGAG